CUUAUACUCCCUCUGUUCGGAAUUACUUGUCACAAAAAAGGAUGUAUCUACAACUAAAAUACAUCUAGAUACAUUCAUUUCUUGGACGAGUAAUUCCGAACGGAGGGAGUAUUUA
rnacentral:pre_miRNA from 1 species